UAAAAUUAUCACUAGAUAAUUAUCAAAGCAUCUCAUUGUCACCAAAAGUAAAAGGGAUUGAAGAAGAUGGAUGAAGAAAUUAUUCUUCCUUCAGAACUCGUAUUCAUCGAAUCCUCCAUUAGAAUACGUCUUAUAAAGAAAGAUAAUCCUGAUGUAAAAACAAUCGUGCUAUUAGCUGGAACUAGAGGAGACUAAAGAUUUCAGACACGAUCGAGUUCGAGUUUUUGUUAAUAUAAACGAUAAAGUCGUUGAAGUUCCUCAAGUUGAUUAAAAUAAUUUGAAUAUCCAUGUCUGAAAUAAU